rnacentral:rRNA from 1 species
GAUGAACGCUGGCGGCGUGCCUAAUACAUGCAAGUCGAGCGAACAGACGAGGAGCUUGCUCCUCUGACGUUAGCGGCGGACGGGUGAGUAACACGUGGAUAACCUACCUAUAAGACUGGGAUAACUUCGGGAAACCGGAGCUAAUACCGGAUAAUACAUUGAACCGCAUGGUUCAAUAGUGAAAGACGGUUUUGCUGUCACUUAUAGAUGGAUCCGCGCCGCAUUAGCUAGUUGGUAAGGUAACGGCUUACCAAGGCAACGAUGCGUAGCCGACCUGAGAGGGUGAUCGGCCACACUGGAACUGAGACACGGUCCAGACUCCUACGGGAGGCAGCAGUAGGGAAUCUUCCGCAAUGGGCGAAAGCCUGACGGAGCAACGCCGCGUGAGUGAUGAAGGUCUUCGGAUCGUAAAACUCUGUUAUUAGGGAAGAACAAAUGUGUAAGUAACUAUGCACGUCUUGACGGUACCUAAUCAGAAAGCCACGGCUAACUACGUG